rnacentral:rRNA from 1 species
UACGUAGGGGGCUAGCGUUGUCCGGAAUCAUUGGGCGUAAAGCGCGUGUAGGCGGUCCGGUAAGUCCGCUGUGAAAGUCGGGGGCUCAACCCUCGGAUGCCGAUCGAUACUGUCGGGCUAGAGUCCGGAAGAGGCGAGUGGAAUUCCUGGUGUAGCGGUGAAAUGCGCAAAUAUCAGGAGGAACACCAAUGGCGAAGGCAGCUCGCUGGGACGGUACUGACGCUGAGGCGCGAAAGCGUGGGGAGCAAACAGG